CCUACGGGAGGCAGCAGUGGGGAAUAUUGCACAAUGGGCGAAACUCUGAUGCAGCAACGCCGCGUGAAGGAAGACGGUUUUCUGAUUGUUAACCUCUGUUUAUAGUGAAGUAUAAUGAUGGUAGCUUAGGAUCUAGCAUCGGCUAACUACGUGCCAGCAGGCGCGGUAAUACGCAGGUGGCCAGCGUUAGCCGGAAUUACUGGGUGUAAAGGGAGCGCAGGCGGUUAGACAAGUCAGCUGUGAAAACUUCGGGCUUAACUGGUAGAUUGCAGUUGAAACUGGUUGUCUUGAGUGAAGUAGAGGUGGGCGGAAUUCGGGGUGUAGCGGUGAAAUGCGUAGAUAUUAGGAAGAACUCCGAUGGCGAAGGCGGCCCACUGGGCUUUAACUGACGCUGAGGCUCGAAAGUGUGGGGAGCAAACAGGAUUAGAUACCCUUGUAGUC
rnacentral:rRNA from 1 species